CAGUGCAGCGGCUCCUCCCUUCCCCCAGCAUCUGGUCUCCUAGCAACGAGCCGCGCAAAGCUCCCCCGGGCUGGGAGCCGCCGUCUCAGGCAGGUGGACGGGGAGGGCGGGGCUGCUCCUUUCCUCACCAGGACAGGGGCAGAUGAACCCCCCCUCCGCUCGCCCCGGGGCCCCAGUCCUGUCUCGGCGUGACGUCACGCCAUCCUCCGUCGGCACUUCAGCGUGAUGUCACACCACCACCCCUCACCUACACCGCCCACCUCUCUAUCAGCAUGACGUCACCCCAUCACUCUACGUCACCCGCCUCACGGCCACGUCAGUGCGAUGUCACCCAACCGACCAGCCCUAUACCUUGGCAUGAUGUCACCCCAGCCCCCAACCUCACACCGUGACAAAACCCCAACCUGGACAUUUGCUGUUCCAAAAGCCAGUGAAAAAUCGCUGCAGUGGUUGGCCUCAAUUUCAUCAGCACCAGGAUGGCUCUGGAUGGGGCGACCAGAACUGCGUGCAAUAAGAGGCCUUCCUUUUAUUGCUGGUGUGACUGUUGGAAUUCAAGGGAAAAAAGACACUUGUCAGCAGAUCUAUUCAGGCAUCCUUACAUGAAGAAAAUAGCUAUCUGGAAAAAAUUAGAAUCUUGCAGAAAGAAAAUCUUCAACUCAAAGUUGGCCUAAAAGAAAAAGGUUCAACAAUGUCUAGCGUCAUGAAAGUAAUUGAGGAUAAGAAAUUCCAUGGUUUUGAAGACAUGUCAUCUGCCUCCUCUGAGCACCAAUAAAUCCCUCCCGCUCAAGGUUAAGAUGGAUGGAGAAUUCUGUGAGAGAACAUCAGCAGCAAGUGGAUGAACUAAGAAAUGAGUUAAGGAGAAUAUCAGAGUAGGCAUGCAUUCUUAAAAUAAAAUUAGAAAAAGAAAAGGUUUCCAAACAAGUGAGAGCACUGACACUGCAUGGAUUCCUAGAAAUAGGAAAUCUAUUCAUUCAUUUAAUCUAUUAGUCACUACAGGUUUGUUCCCUACGGUGCAUUUCUCUUUUCAAUCAACUUUUAGCAUGUCCAGAUGAGGGUAUCCCACCACUUCACUUGGGAGACUAGCCUACAUUAUUAAAAAUCUGUCUGCAUUUUUUUUCAUUUACCUUAUUUUCCUUUUCUUAAUUUCAUCCUAUUGCUGUAAACCUAUACACUAUACUACAUUCCUGUCCUUUUCUCACUCACAUGAUCAUCACUGUCACCAACUUCGUUGAAGAAAAGCUGAGAUAUAUUAGGAAAUAGGCUGUGAAAAGUGUACACAAACAUACAAAAAACAGAAUCAGUAUAUUAAGGGCCUGAUCUUGCAUCCUUUGAAGUCAGUGACAAAACUCCCUUUGAUUUCUAUGGACAUAGAAUCAAAUCCAUAAUGAGAUAAAUAGCAUAAUUCCCCAUUUUCCUGACAGCAAUUCCCAGAUUCAAUUAAUGCUGACUUUGUACAGCAAAAUAAGGAAAAAUUGAUGGUUAACAGCCGGGAAGACUGUGGCUGAAUGGUUCUGCUAAACCAACAGAGCUUGUUUCAUGUGUGUGUGUGGGGGGGGGGGGUUCUGCGAUACUGGUACAAUGGACAGCUUUGACAGUGUAGCUGUGUCCACAUGAGGAACACUUCACUGAUAUAGUAUAACAGUAUUCCCAUACUGGUGAAGUGCUUCUAGUGAGGCCAAACAUAUUAAAAUAAUCUUGCUGGCUCAGAGGCUUUUUUAGUUCCAUAAGAAGAGUAGUUCUUUUGAGGCUAUGCAAGGAAAAUAGAUUAAUAUUUUUCAAUUUUUUAUUUUAUUCUUUAUUGUGCUGGACAAAAAGUAAUGUCUUUCAGUUUGCAAUACUAUUCAAAAACUUAAAUGAGUCUUCUGAAUUUGUAUGUACUAUUUAAUAUUCUGUUAGCAGCCUGAAGCUCUCAUCAAGACUGGGAUCUCAUGCUAGGUACUGUACAAAUAUAUAUAUGAAGAUACAGUUCAUGUACCAAAGAGCCUAUUAUUUUAAGAUUAAAAUUCAGAGGUAAUCCAAGUACAUACAACUAAAUGCCCUAAGAAGGAUUUCAAGUUCUGUUGCUUAGGUCUACUGCAUAAAUCAAGCAGUCCUCACCUACAUCUUUUUUCUCAUCUCUUACACCUUCCUCCAUACACUGAAUCCAUGACUACUCCCUUAAUCACCAUUUCUUUCUACUACCAUUUAAGCCAUGAACAGCCUCCUAGUCAAUGCUGGGAAAGCACUCUUCCUUCUAAAACCUAAAAUUCCACACACACACUAUUUGUGAAGCUUUCUAGUUAUUGAGACCACAUCCCACCUUUUUAUAUUACACAGACUUCUACUUCUAUGUUAAACUUCUCAGGAAAAAACCUCAUUUCUUCAGAACACUUUAGCCACUGUACAGUGCUGAAUACAUCUGUAUUGUAUCCUUCCUCUGACAAAAUAUUUAAUCCUUAUGCAAACUUCAUAAAACCAUAACCACAGAGUUAUGGAAAUGAUCAGUUAAAGUAAUUUAAGUAGUCCAGUACUCUGACAGUUUGUACAUGCAGUUAAUGACACCAUUGUCAUUUAAAAAUGUACUGUAUGCAUUUCACAAGCCACCUUGCCUGACAAACAAUAGGUACAAAUUCAGCAUAUCCAUCACUAUUCAUGUAGUCAAAAUUAUAUACAUAUUGAUAAUAGAUAUGCUGAAAAAUCCUAAGCAAGUUUUGUAUAUCAGAGUCAAGGAUGCUUGUAAAAUGUGGAAGGAGAAUUUUUACAUGUCACUUUUACAGUUUUAACUAAUUGCUUCUUGUUUGAGAGUAAUUUUAACUGAGUUUUCCCCUACAAUUUCACAACAGUGAAAGUCCGUAAGACUUAGGCUCCUUUGUGUCUGUCACUCUUUUGAAAAUGGGCCUUAGGCACUAUUGAGAAUUUUACCUUGGCUCUUAAAAACUAAAAUAUUAUUAUUUCCCAAGGAAACCUCAAAUCUCUAAUGCUGUUUUAAAAAAUAUAUUUAACACUUUCUGUUCUUACAUAUUUGCACAAUUACUUUACCAUUAAAUUGUUUUCAUUCAGAACUAAAGCAAACAAACUGUUUUUACAAGAACCUGACAUAUGCAUAGAGGCAUGGGAAAUAAUUAGCUCACAGGAUUCCAUUUUAAACUCGUUCUUGUUCUGAUGUUAAUUUAUAUCCAACAAAGCCAAAAUCUUAAUUUUAAUACAUUUAUAUAGUCAAUACAAUUUCAGAAUUUUUAAAAUAAAAUACAACGUACUACACCAUUUUCUCAGCCCUCUUUUUCCAUUAAAGUGAGUAAACAUGAUUGAAAGGGUCAGAAUUCUAUGCACAGUUAUAACAUUUACAGUGAUUUGAUAGACUAAGUCAAGCUACUACACUGUAAGACAGGUUAAUCAAUGUCCAAUUAUUUAUAAGCUACCCCUUUUCUACCAAGAGAAUACUUUUAAAGAACAUGAUCAGAAAAACUCAGAUAUGAAAUUUAACUAUGUCUUUAUUAAGAAUUAAUGAGAUUUAAAGAUUCUAAUUAACAUUCAGUUGAAAGUGUUUUCCAAUCUAGUCUUGAUUAGGAAAGUAGAACUCUGAUUUAACUGACAUUUUUUUAAAAGCUUUAUUCUUUUAAAAGACUACUGCUCCAGUUAAAAUUCUUUAUUGAUUCAAGAAAGAUUGAAGCUCCAAUAGUAAAAUAAUUAAACCCAUCAGGAACAAAGAAUGUGGGAAGAAACUGAACAUUUGAUGUAAAGUUUUCUAACAAUCUUAAUGUACAUUCUCGUCCUCAGUUUCCAUUCUGUUUCUGCAGCAGAGGGAGUCCCAUCCAAAUUUUAGUUAAUCCCUCAUCUGGUGCAUUGGCAUAUUGAGAAAAAUUUCUCAGAAAUGUGUACUGGCACUGGGUUUUUAAUUCACCCCUUCAAUGUGGGCUGUUUUUUCCUUUCCCUCUCCCAUAGCAGCUACAUAUAAUCUUACUGAGCAAGCAGUAGCAAAAAAUGCUUCACUACACUGUCUCCCAGGAGCCAGGGCCCUAUCUCCUAUACUCCUAACCUUGCCAUUGUACACAGCAAGAGUCCAGAGGUUAUUCUAAAAUCCAGGGCUCCAGCAUACCAGCCACUUAGGCCUGGCCUACA